rnacentral:rRNA from 1 species
AUUGAACGCUGGCGGCAUGCCUAACACAUGCAAGUCGAACGGCAGCACAGCAGUAGCAAUACUGUGGGUGGCGAGUGGCGGACGGGUGAGGAAUACGUAGGAAUCUGCCCAGUCGUGGGGGAUAACUAGCCGAAAGGUUAGCUAAUACCGCAUACGACCGAGAGGGGAAAGCGGGGGACCGCAAGGCCUCGCGCGAUUGGAUGAGCCGACGUCGGAUUAGCUAGUUGGGGGGGUAAAGGCCUACCAAGGCGACGAUCCGUAGCUGGUCUGAGAGGAUGAUCAGCCACACUGGAACUGAGACACGGUCCAGACUCCUACGGGAGGCAGCAGUGGGGAAUAUUGGACAAUGGGCGCAAGCCUGAUCCAGCAAUGCCGCGUGUGUGAAGAAGGCCUUCGGGUUGUAAAGCACUUUUAUCAGGAACGAAAAGCGUUGGACUAAUACUCUGACGUGCUGACGGUACCUGAGGAAUAAGCACCGGCUAACUUCGUGCCAGCCGCCGCCGUAAGAC